UACGUAGGGUCCGAGCGUUGUCCGGAGUUACUGGGCGUAAAGCGCGCGCAGGCGGCGGUAUAAGCAUGGCGUGAAAGCCCCAGGCUUAACCUGGGAGGGUCGUCGUGGACUGUACCGCUUGAGGGCGGUAGGGGCUGGUGGAAUGCCUGGUGUAGUGGUGAAAUGCGUAGAGAUCAGGCGGAACACCAAUGGCGAAAGCAGGUAACUGGACUAUUACUGACACUCAGCUGCGAAAGCUAGGGGAGCAAACAGG
rnacentral:rRNA from 1 species